rnacentral:lncRNA from 1 species
CCGAGGCUGUUCCCACUCUGGUGAUUCAGUGUCAGGCUGGGAGCGAGGGAACCAGAGCCUGUUACCCGGAUCCCUCGACUUUUCCCAUCUCCACAUGGCUCUGCAGCAAAUCAAAGUGCAACAAAACAGCUUUGCAUCAUUUCUUCGAGGAGUCCUGGGCCCUGUAUGUUAUCUCCAGGGCAGGGAUUUUACCGUUCUGAAGGUUAAAAAGAGGGAAGCAGCUGUUCCCAUGCCUCAGGAGCACAAACACUUGAGAGGAAUCAGUGGGACAGCAGCGAGGGAGCGCUUGGGCUGCUGCCAAAGCUCCGGCAGCGAGCCCGGCUCGGAGCCUGUGAUCUGGGGAACCUCUGGAGCCUUUCGCAAGGCCAGUGUCACAGACAGGUACCCUGGGACACCAGGGAAAGGGGAAGAGCAUUUGCCUGGGCAGGAAGGCUGCGUCAGUGCCAGGAAUAGCAGCCCGCUGUCCCGUGACCCAGCUGUGCUGCUCAGAAAUGAGAUAAAGCUGUCGCUGCCAGCCUGGGGACAGCGCUGGGGACAGGGCUGGGGACAGCGAUGGGGACAGGGCUGGGGACAGAGAUGGGGACAGGGCUGGGGACAGCGCUGGGGACAGGGCUGGGGACAGGGCUGGGGACAGAGAUGGGGACAGGGCUGGGGACAGCGAUGGGGACAGCGAUGGGAAUAGCGAUGGGGA